rnacentral:rRNA from 1 species
UACGUAGGGUGCAAGCGUUGUCCGGAAUUUAUUGGGCGUAAAGAGCUCGUAGGCGGUCUGUCACGUCGGCUGUGAAACCCGAGGCUCAACCUCGGGCCUGCAGUCGAUACGGGCAAACUAGAGUACUGCAGGGGAGACUGGAAUUCCUGGUGUAGCGGUGAAAUGCGCAGAUAUCAGGAGGAACACCGGUGGCGAAGGCGGCUACCUGGACCGGUACUGACGCUGAGACGCGAAAGCGUGGGGAGCGAACAGG